rnacentral:rRNA from 1 species
UACGAAGGGUGCAAGCGUUAUUCGGAAUCACUGGGCGUAAAGAGUGCGUAGGCGGUAUGUUAAGUUUGUCGUUAAAGACUCUAGCCUAACUGGAGGGUUGCGAUGAAAACUGGCACACUAGAGGAUGAGAGAGAGAAGUGGAAUUCCUGGAGUAGCGGUAAAAUGCGUGGAUCUCAGGAGGAACACCAAUGGCGAAGGCAGCUUCUUGGCUCAUAUCUGACGCUGAGGCACGAAAGCGUGGGGAGCAAACAGG